AAAAAAUAGACAUUGUGUUAUCAGUCGAUCAUUAUCACUGAAACUGUUCCGGCGAAUGUUUGUCAUCAGGAACUUAUUUUCUUAAUAAGAAAAUUGACUUCGAAACCAUGAAUCGCGUCGGAAGAGCAAUACCGCGACUACUGUGCUGCCCAAGAACCAUAGCAGAACUCCUCUUGUCGGAUCUUCCUGGAGCUCAGAGUACCUAACCCAUCCAAAGUCUCAGAUCCAAAGCAUCAGCCUACUGAAUCAACAGCCAUCGCAACAGCCGCGUCACGCUACAAAAUUGUCGCUGGGCUCCAUAGCUAUACUUUUUUGCUCUGCAAUAAAAUUUAUAACGAUUGUUCUGGGAGGACUUUUGAAAAUUUGUUCGGCCCUGUUUCACAAGACAACCGAGGGGCAAUAGAUUCUCUUAUAUGUUUUAUAUGCCGGAACGAGCCAGUUGGACAUAGCUGAGAUUUACCUCUUGGUACGCUAUGUAACGCGGGAGAGGCAACCUACGGAGGAUCUGAUUACUUGCGAUGGACUUUGUUAUGAUGUGCUCUGGUUGCAGUGAUGUAUAUUCCGAUUGUCCCAGUUAACACCCAGCUUGUAAAGUCCAAGGGAAAGCAGCAAGACAACGAUUCUAUCAUAGGUCUUGUCCAUGCUCUUUCCAAUAUAGAACAUACUGCAGGAACAGCCAUUCAAUGGCUCUAUGCAGCGGUACCCACAGACCGGAAGGUCAGUCUCCGUCUAUGUGGUGCAGCGUGCCUCAUCGAAAGAAUGAAUCGGUCCGCAAAAGUGCUGUAGAUACCGGAGCAUUGAUAAAGCGAGCGACGUAAAAAUAUGACACCGACAUGAUUUCGGCAUUCGGGUAUAUAUUUAGAUUGGCCAGAUUUGAUGGCUUGAGUCGAGUAAAUCAAUCUGCGUGGAACAGCGGUAUCACAUGGACAGAUUUGGCGAAGAGUGAGACUAGUCCUUGCCAUCACCGGUUACCGGCAGAUGAUUCCUUCUGAUCUGGCUGUUGAAAGUAUAUAUUAUAGUUGAUCGUCCAUUAUUGUAAAAAUUAAUCAUUGUUAUUCCGUUUGUAAAUAUAAUGUCAAUAAAUCUGAACGAUUCUUCUUAUACAA